GAAAUUGGCCCACAGUUCAGUAUCUACUGCUCUCUCUCUCUCCUCGCACACGCACAGAGUGAGCUUGAAGAAUAUGUCAAGCAGAAGAGGAAGAAUUUCUAUCUCUUCCAUUAUUGGACCAAGAAUAGCUUACUGCAAUAAUUGGCUUUUAGAAGGUACUUCCAAAUCGAAAUCGAAAUUUGUUAAGGUUAAUCAACCCUCUUGUUUCUUAUUUGUUCUGUUUCGUUCUCUCUCUAACACCACCAAAAACCCUACUUCUCCUCCUCAAGGACGCGAACCUAAACCUGAAGCCUUACCCAAACAACCAUGCAAUUUGGGUCCCAAUCAUCUUCAUUCUGCUUUAAUUUCCUUCAAUCGCAUGCUCCGAAUGCGACCUUUGCCCCCAAUUUCUCAAUUCAACAAAGCUUUAGGCUCUAUUUUGAAAAUGGGUCAUUACGCCACUGCUCUUUCUCUUAUUCAUAACAAGUUGCAACAGUUCCAAGGCAUUCAGGUCAAUAUCUGCACCUUCAGCAUUGCUAUUAACUGUUACUGCCACCUUGAUCGAGUCGAUUUUGGGUUGUCUCUUCUGGGUACCCUCUUCAAACGCGGUUAUACACCUGAUGUAACUACCUUCACAACUCUGAUUAAUGGACUUAUUUUGCAAGAUAAAACUCCUCUAGCUGUGGAGUUAUUUAAGAAAUUAAUGAGAACUAGAGAAAUUGAACCCGACGUAGUUAUGUAUGGAACCAUUGUCAAUGGGCUCUGCAGAACGGGGAACACUGUCAGGGCUGUUAGUUUGCUUAGGAUAAUGGAAGAGGGAAGUUGUAAACCUAACACCGUAGUGUAUAGCACGAUCAUUGACAGUCUUUGCAAGGAUAGAAUGGUGGAUGAAGCUCUCAAACUCUUUUCUACGAUGGUUGAAAAGGGUAUUUUUCCAAAUGUUGUCACUCAUACUUCUUUGAUUCAUGGCCUAUAUAAUUUUGGCCGGUGGAAGGAGGCUACUGGAAUGUUUAGAGAAAUGUUGGAUAGUGGUAUUGCUCCGGAUGUUCAUAUGUAUAGUGUUUUGCUGGCUGCAUGUACCAAGGAAGGGAAGAUGAAAGAGGCAGAGGGGGUACUUGAAGUCAUGAUACAAAGAAAUGUAGAUCCUAAUGUAGUCACAUACAAUGCUUUAAUGGAUGGAUAUUGUUUGCAAGGCCAAAUGGAUGAAGCAAUUAGAGUGUUCAAUACCAUGGUGGAUAGGGGCCUUCACCCCAAUGUUUUUAGCUAUAACAUUCUAAUCAAUAGAUAUUGCAAGAAAAUGAAAAUAGAUGAGGCCAUGCAUCUCUUUCGAGAAUUGCCUCAAAGGGGGUUAAAACCCGACAAUGGAACUUUCAGUGCUAUGUUACGGGGUUUGUUUCAAACAGGUAGAUGUGGAGCUGCUCAAAAACUUUUUAAUGAUAUGCAAGCUGCAGGCAUAAAUCCAGAUUCUCAAACUUAUGGUAUCGUGUUGGAUGGGCUAUGCAAAAACGGGCAUAUUUCUAAAGCAUUGUCAUUAUUCCACAUGAUGGAAAGCAACAAUUUACAUCUUGAUAUUGUUAAGUACAAUAUUCUUAUUGAUGCAUUCUGCAAGGAUAAAAAGCUUGAUACUGCAAGGGCCCUUUUCAGUAACCUUUCUUCCAAGGGAUUACAACCUGAUGUUAAGACAUACAAUACGAUGAUACAAGGUCUUUGUGAAGAAGGCCUACUGCAUGAAGCCAAAGAGUUGUUUGUUAAAAUGGUACCGAAUGGUUGUUUGCCAAAUGAUGUAACUUACAACACUAUUAUCCGAGGAUUUAUUGGACAACACAAGUGCUAUGAGGCAUUAAUACUGGUUGAGGAAAUGGUUCAAAGUGGUUUUUCAGCAGAUGCAUCCAAUUCUUCCUUUGUCAUAAAUAUAAUCUCAACUAAAGGACAAGAUCCUGCUCUCCAGGAAGUGAUACAGAAGUUUAUGCCCAAAGAUAGUCAUGGAAUGCAAGAGAUUGAGUGAAGUGCUUAAGCUGUGAAGGUCAUGUACUGGUAAUUGACUUGAUCAAAUAGAGUGUCAGCAUGCUCUACAAAGCUAAAGCAAAGGGCCCUUAAGGAUCAGGUUUGGACUCAUCGAUCUAGUUUUAAUUUGCACCCUCAUUCUGAUAAUGGUGCAGGGACUUUGUUAAAGGACCCGGGUGCUGAUUAUGGAGAUUAUUCAAAUCCUUGAUGGAGUUUUAAAGGCUGUAUCACCUUGGAUUGGGAAGGAUUCCUUAUGGAAUCAAGGAAUUUGUGAAGUACCUGCAACUGCAGGAGCUUGAUCUCUGCUGUUUGUUUCCUCAUACAAGGCAACUGUAGCUUAAUACCUCAUCAUUACAUCCCAAGGGAAGCAGCCUUUUUCAGCACAACCAGCAUCAAAUUAUUCUUAUUUUUAUUUGAGUAAAUUACACAUUGAGGUUUCUGACACUUUCAAAUCUGUAUUUAGAAAUUUGAUUUCUCUUUCUGCAUAAAUAAGAAUCAAGUCUAUGUAUUUAGUAAUUUGAUUUUUCUUUCUGCAGGUAAGAACAGAGAGAAUAAAUUUCAAUUCAUAUAAUCUGAUGAAUUUACGACCGUUCCCUUUCUUCUAAACAAUUCAUAUAUUGUGGUAUUUCCAUAUCAUUCUUUUGAUAUUUAUUGACAUUCUUUGUAUGUUUGCUUGUGCUGGUGACUAUGAUGAUUAUUAGUUCAUGUGGUGUUGCUGCUGUAAUUGAAGGGAUGCAUCGGUGGUUUAUCAACUGCAGAAAUAUUCCAUUAUGCUAGGAAGAAAAUUUGCACAUUUAGCUGCAAAUUUACCAUCAGGGUUUGGUAUUUCAUUAGAUAGGCUAGUCUUCUCCUUCAUUCUCCCCCAGAAGAUUGCCAAGUUCAAUGCAAAUGCUUACUUGAUACAUCAUUAAAUAAUAAAUAUAGAUGCAGCUACUGCCGGAAAACAUACAUCUAUUUUGUGCAGGGAAGAGAGGUGAAAUUGAUGUUUCCAGGUUGAUGUUGAUAAAAGCUUUACGGCAACAUCCUUCAACCGCUCCAUCUUGUAAAUAAACGUUCCCGGGUUUCUACACAAAUAGGAGAACAAGCAUUAAUACUAAACUGAUUGACCAUCAAUCAGAGGGUGCAUGGGAGUAACUCAGACCUUUUGCAUUUGCAAUGAUUCUAAAUGUAACUAUAUUUUUCUUGGUAGAAACAAUAUAUACUUGGUAUUCUUAUAGUCUCUGUACCCACUGAAGAUUUGAUCCACGCAGUUUACAGGCAUAUAGCAUUACAAGUAUGUUUUUUCCUAAACUGUUUGCAGCAAAUUAUGAUCUCUUAAAUGGUUCCUGGAGAUUUUUUUC